CCCUGUGUAGCUCAGUUGGUAGAGCAUGGCGCCCGCAGCACGCCAGGGUUGUGGGUUUGAUUCCCACCCCGGGGG